UCCUGUAGAGAGCAGUAGACAUUUUGAUAAAACUCUCUUGGCUGCAUACUGCACGCACCCAUACUGUAAAGGAGAGGGGCCUAAUGUAGUAUUGCUGUCUGUUACGUUUCCCGGUCGUAGCAGCGGAACGAGAACGGUGCUAAAAUGUCCAUAGUGGAAAACCAGAGUAUUAAGAGCUCAUUUACUCCGUUUCUGAAAUAGUCUGCUCAACGCAGCGUGCUUAAGGAUGGUUGGUUAACGUUUCCCGUCUGAUAAAUUCUAAACUGCGUUGUUCGUUAAAUUCCUGACCAGGAGAUACGUACGACUACCACCGGUAGACAGGGAAACUGGUUGGAUUUGACACUUGUAUCGGCCCGGGACUGCCAUGGAAAAGACACCUACUUUAUUCGUCUGCGGCAAGGUGCAGGCAGACUGAUCCACUGGAAAGCACCUUUUCUGGGAGGUAGACAAGGACAGAGCGGUGGUGCACGUCUCAGAGGCUUUGAGACCCAGGGCUUGCCGAUCUAGUGGGUUGCUGCCAAAAACCAACACGGAAAGAGCCUGAAACAGUUUGCCUGGGUGGCAGCAUCACAUCUUCAGACCCAGGAAAACGGCACGCCUGGGAGGCAGUCAAAACCAGAAAGCUGCAUGCUUGGGGGACAGUCACUUACAUUAAACAGCACAGCGGCAGGCCUGAAUGGUUUGGGGAACUUAAGAGGAGCGCUCUGCAUUAGGGGCUGAGAUGGACUAAUAAGGGAGCCUGGGUUGCAUCAUCGGCCAAUAAUAGCUCACCACGAGGAAAGGGCUGUAAAGAAGAACAGUAAGACCCAGCAGAGCGCGGUGAUCAGAACAAUCCACAGUAUCUUUGAUGAAGGGCCAGGAGUUGAUCUACACUGCCAUGCUGGCAAAGACCUUACCUCCAGUCUCACCUCUUGCCCGCUCACCAACGGUCGUCGACGGGGGGACCAGAUUUAGCACAUCACGUGUUAGACCCUAGAACUGGGGGUGGGCUUGCCCCACCGAUGUUCCACACAACCAUCUCCGGGGAACGGGUCACUGCUGCCAUCCAUCGAUGGCCGUCGUUUGACGGGGAAAAUUGCGAAUGCUGAGCAGGCUAGUGAGGUUGGGGCCCGCCCUCAGUCUCCGCUCUUUGGCUACUGGAUGGAAUUGAGGUGAAUGGAGCCCAUUUCCAACGUUGAGGACCCCAACUCAUCAGAGGGAGAUGUGAAACGGUCAGUCCAUGUUCCUCCCAGUCCCCUGGUGUGUACGAGGGGGAUUUCUGUGUGUGGGUUUGUAACAACAACGUCCGUAACAUUUCAGAUACACAAUAAAGCACUUAGUUCAUCCCAAAGGAUUUUUUAACGCUGCCUCUGAGGAUUGCAUAACGGUGUGUCAUAUGUAGAGAGGAAGAGAGAGAAGUUAUAUAAUGCAAUUUAAUGUAUAAAUCUGGAGAUCCAGAUUUAUACAUCCAGUUACACACACACACACACAUAGGCUUGGACGCUCACACACACUCCAUAGAUCUACAGUAAACACAAUGUAAAAAUGAGUGGAGGAAUGUAGAGGGAGUUGUAGAGAAGCACUGCCUCCUGCCAACACGUGCCCUCACAUUCGUAGCGCCUUCCUUCUCAUUAAAUGUGCAGAUGCUGAAUUUUUCCAGCAUAUUCGAGUCACAUUUUUAAAUGAGCACAGACCGCGGUAGAGAAAUACAAACAUUAGAUUUAAGAUCUGUGUGUGUCGAAUGUACUGUAUUUUAUGUUAAUGAAAGGAUAUAUGGAUUAUUUUGCCUAUACUACAGAGGAUGUGGUGGAGGUGUAUGGUGUGUGAGUGUUUGUGUUUAUGUGUGCAUGCGUUCGUGUGUGUGUGUGUGUUCACAGUGCAGGGAUUAACAUAACAGAGUGUAGGAUUAGGAGUAAGGGGUGGUCAGAUGGAACGGCAGGAAAGCGGAGGACAACUCUGGACACAUCCAUAUGUGACGCCAGCAGGGGAUUGUCUCUGGUGUGUCGCUAUUUAUGUUUCGAUGUGUGUGUGUGUGUGUCGC